rnacentral:rRNA from 1 species
UGCCAGCCGCCGCGGUAAUACGGAGGAUCCAAGCGUUAUCCGGAUUCAUUGGGUUUAAAGGGUCCGUAGGCGGGAAAUUAAGUCAGUGGUGAAAUCCUACAGCUCAACUGUAGAACUGCCAUUGAUACUGGUUUUCUUGAGUGUAGUUGAGGUGGGCGGAAUAUGUCAUGUAGCGGUGAAAUGCAUAGAUAUGACAUAGAACACCUAUUGCGAAGGCAGCUCACUAAGCUACUACUGACGCUGAGGGACGAAAGCGUGGGGAGCGAACAGGAUUAGAUA